rnacentral:rRNA from 1 species
UACGAAGGGGGCUAGCGUUGUUCGGAAUUACUGGGCGUAAAGCGCGUGUAGGCGGCUUUGCAAGUCGGGUGUGAAAGCCCUCAGCUCAACUGAGGAAGUGCGCCCGAAACUGCAGAGCUUGAGUGCCGGAGAGGGUGGCGGAAUUCCCCAAGUAGAGGUGAAAUUCGUAGAUAUGGGGAGGAACACCGGUGGCGAAGGCGGCCACCUGGACGGUAACUGACGCUGAGACGCGAAAGCGUGGGGAGCAAACAGG